rnacentral:rRNA from 1 species
GAUGAACGCUGGCGGCGUGCCUAAUACAUGCAAGUCGAGCGAACUUAACUAAAUGAAUGCGGUGCUUGCACCUGAUUGAUAAAACAUCGGAAUGAGUGGCGGACGGGUGAGUAACACGUGGGUAACCUGCCCAGAAGUGGGGGAUAACAUUUGGAAACAGAUGCUAAUACCGCAUAAUAGAUAGAACCACAUGGUUCUAUUUUGAAAGAUGGCCUUUGUGCUAUCACUUCUGGAUGGACCCGCGGUGUAUUAGCUAGUUGGUAAGGUAACGGCUUACCAAGGCAAUGAUACAUAGCCGAACUGAGAGGUUGAUCGGCCACAAUGGGACUGAGACACGGCCCAUACUCCUACGGGAGGCAGCAGUAGGGAAUCUUCCACAAUGGGCGCAAGCCUGAUGGAGCAACACCGCGUGAGUGAAGAAGGGUUUCGGCUCGUAAAACUCUGUUGUUAAAGAAGAACGUAUCUAAGAGUAACUGCUUAGGUAGUGACGGUAUUUAACCAGAAAGCCACGGCUAACUACGUGCCAGCAGCCGCAGUAAGAC